rnacentral:tRNA from 1 species
CACGCCGGAUGAUUCAAUCAAUGGCCAUCACACAGCCGAGAUCGUGACGUAAAAAGCCACCGUGU